UACGUAGGGCGCAAGCGUUAUCCGGAAUUAUUGGGCGUAAAGGGCUCGUAGGCGGCCAACUAAGUCAGACGUGAAAUCCCCAGGCUUAACCUGGGAACUGCGUCUGAUACUGGAUGGCUUGAAUUCGGGAGAGGGAUGCAGAAUUCCAGGUGUAGCGGUGAAAUGCGUAGAUAUCUGGAGGAAUACCGGUGGCGAAGGCGGCAUCCUGGACCGACAUUGACGCUGAGGAGCGAAAGCUAGGGGAGCAAACGGG
rnacentral:rRNA from 1 species